UUUUUUUUUUUUUUUUUUUUUNNUUUUUUGCCUUUUCUAGGGCCCCUCCCAGGCAUAUGGUGGUUCCCAGGCUAGGGGUCUAAUCAGAGCUAUAGCCUCUGGCCUACGCCAGAGCCACAGCAACUUGGGAUCUGAGCUGUGUCUUUGACCUCCACCAUAGCUCUUGGCAACGGUGGAGGGAUUGAGCAAGGCCAGGGAUCGAACCCGCAACCUCACGGUUCCUAGCUGUAUUCAUUAACCACUGCCCACGGCGGGAACUCCUAAAGUAUGACUCUUUUGUGGGUCUCUUAAAUGCCUCAGAUAAAGGGUCAGAAAACUAUGGUCUAUAGGCCAUAUCCAGCUCAUGGACUAUUUUUGUAAAUAAAGUUUUAUUGGAACACAGCCAUAACCAUUUGUUUAUUUAUUGUGUAAGACUGCAAGCAAUUGUGUCCUUGGGCAUUCAACCCAAAGAAAUGAAAACUUAAGGUCCUACAAGAACUUAUAAACAAAUGUUUACAGCAUCUUUAUUCAUAAUAGCGAAAUCUGGAAGCAACCUAGAUGUCCUUCAAAGAGAGUGGUUAAUCAAACUAUGGUGCAUUCAUACCGAGGGAUCCUAUCUAGCAAUAAAAAGAAUACAUAACGAUACACAUAACUCGUUUGGAUCUCAAGGGGAUUGUAUGGAGUAAAAAAAAGUCUCAAAAGCCAGUCUUAAUAAUUUUAAUACACCCCAGGAGUUCCCCUUAUGGCUCAGUGGUAAUGAACCAGACUAGUAGCCAUGAGGAUUCGGGUUUGAUCCCUUGCCCUGUUCAGUGGGUUAAGGAUCCGGCAUUGCUGUGAUCCGUGGUGUAGGUCACAGACGUGGCUCAGAUCCUGAGUUGCUGUGGUGUAGGCUGGCAGUUGCAGCUCUGAUUCAACCUUAGCCUGGGAACUUCCAUAUGCAGAGGAUGUGGCCCUAAAAAGACACACACACACACACAAAAUGUUUAGUAAAUCUCAGAUUAUCUUUUAACAGUGCUUAUAUUGGAACUCAAGGAAUGGUACAGUUACAAUGCAUGCAUUUCACUGUAGGUAAUGAAUGCUGUAUGAUUCCUCUUACGUAACAUUCUUGAAAUGACAAACUUAGAUGGAGAACAGAUUAGUGGUUACCUAGGGUUUGGUGGUGGUGAAGGAUAGAAAAUGAGGUGACUAUGGAUGUAAAAGGGUAGCAUGGGCGAUUCUUGUGAUGGAAUGAUUCUGUACCUUGAUUGGGGUGGUCACAUGAAUCAACACAGGUGAUAAUAUUGAGUACAACUAAAUACACACACACACACUGUGAGUAUAUGUAAAACUGGUAAAAUCCAGUCUGUUUCAAUAUAAAUUUCUUGUUUAUGAUAACAUACUAUAGUUAUGCAUGAAUUUGCCACUGGGGGAAACUGAGGAUGCACAUGAUCUCUCUGUAUUAUUUCCCGUAACUCUAUAUGAACCUAUAAUUACCUCAAAAUAAAAAGUUUAAAAAAUUACAAUGUGGACUUCCCACUGUGGAUCAGCAGGUUAAAAGCACAACAUGGUGUCCGUGAGGAUGCAGGCUUGAUACCUGGCCUCACUCAGUAGGUUAUGGGUAUGGCAUCACCUCAAGCUUCAGUGUAGUUCGCAGAUGUGACUUGGAUCUGAUGUUGCCAUGGCUGUGAUGUGGGCCUCAGCUACAGCCCUGGUUUAACCCCCAGCCUCGGAAUUUCCAUGUGCCUCAGGUAUGGCUGUGAAAAAAAAAAAACAAUUAUGAUGUGUAUACAAAGCCUAAUCCAAGAGUAUUUUUUUUUUUUUUUUUUUUUUUUUUUGGCACUGCCUAAGGUAUGCAGAAGUUCCUGGGCCAGGGAUCAAACCCAUACCACAGCAGUAAACUGAGCUACAGCGGUGACAGCACCAGAUCCAGGGAACUCCCAAACAGUACAUUUGGCAUAAUUCUAUUUAUAGAAGUCCUAGAGGAGGCAAAAUAAUCUAUUAUGGGGGAAAAAAUCAGAACAGUGGUUACUUUCUGGGCAAAAUUUUGUAUCUUGUUAGGAUUGCAUUGGUAAAUGCUGUAAGGAGACAAGAGGUUCAAAAUGGAGUUGCUUAUGGUAAGCCACAUCACCAAAUGGAGAAUUUGGCUCUCCCAGAAAUUGAGUCACCUGACCAGCACUAGUUAGCUAAUCUGCUUGUUGGAUCCCUGCCAUCACUACAGGAAAGUAACCUUGUAAUUACCAACCCACUUUUUUGCCUAGAAUAACUUCCUUGUUUCUGUUCCCUUCUGGGUAGAAAAGUCUUUCAUUAUGUACAGAUCCUCAGAGCUCCUUUUUUUCCUUUGUCUUUUUUUUUUAGGGCCAUACCUGAGGCACUUGGAGGUGCCCAGGCUAGGGGCUCAAUUGAAGCUGCAGCCACUGGCCUACACCAGAGCCACAGCAACACAGGAUCCAAGCUCAUUGCCCUGAGCUGUGUAUAGGUCACAGGUGUGGCUCAGAUCCCAAAUUGCUGUGGCUGUGGUGUAGGCUGGCAUCUACAGCUCCAAUUCAACUUCUAGCCUGGGAACUUCCAUAGGCCUUGGGUGCGGUCCUAAAAAGACAAAAAAAAAAGUGCUUGUAUUGGAACUUAAGGGAUGGUAGAGUUAAGAUGUGUGCAUUUCAGGGAGCCCUGGUGGCUCAGUGGGUUAAGGAUCUGAUGUUGUUACUGCUGUGGCAUGGGUUCAAUCCCUAGCCCAGGAAUUUCCACAUGCUGCAUGCACAGCCAAAAAAAAAAAAAAAAGAUAUGUGUAUUUCAUUGUAGUUAAUGAUAUGCAUGCUGAAGUAUAUAUAUCAUAUAAAGUAUGCAUAUGCAUAUGAUAUCAUUAAUGAUAUGCACAUUGAAGUAUUUUGGGGGAAGUAUACUAAAGUCUCUAACUUUGAAAUUCAUCAAGGAGCUCCCAUUGUGACUCAGUGGAUUAAGGAUGUGAUGUAGUCUCCUUAAGAGUGUGGGUUCAAGCCCUGGCCUUACUCAGUGGAUUAAGGAUCUGGCGUUGCCACAAACUGCAGAGUAAGUCACAGAUUUGGUGUGGAUCUGUUGUUGCUGU
rnacentral:lncRNA from 1 species